AAUUUGAAAUCUGGCCCCUUCGGGGUCCGAGUUGUAAUUUGUAGAGAGCGCUUCGGGUGAAGUCGCGGUCUAAGUCCAUUGGAACAUGGCGUCGUAGAGGGUGAGAAUCCCGUAUGCGACCGCGGACCGAGCCCAUGUGAAGCUUCUUCGACGAGUCGAGUUGUUUGGGAAUGCAGCUCAAAAUGGGUGGUAUAUUUCAUCUAAAGCUAAAUAUUGGCUGGAGACCGAUAGCGCACAAGUAGAGUGAUCGAAAGAUGAAAAGCACUUUGGAAAGAGAGUCAAACAGUACGUGAAAUUGUUGAAAGGGAAGCGCUUGCAACCAGACCUGCCCGGGGGCGAUCAGCCGCUGUUCUCAGCGGUGCACUCGUUCCCCGAUCAGGCCAGCAUCGGUUUCGGCGGUCGGACAAAGGCCCCGGGAAUGUAGCUUCCCUCGGGGAGUCUUAUAGCCCGGGGUGCAAUGCGGCCAGCCGGGACCGAGGACCGCGCUUCGGCUAGGAUGCUGGCGUAAUGGUUGUCAGCGACCCGUCUUGAAACACGGACCAAGGAGUCUAACAUCUAUGCGAGUGUUUGGGUGUCAAACCCACACGCGGAAUGAAAGUGAACGGAGGUGAGAACCCCCCGGGGCGCAUCAUCGACCGAUCCAGAUGUCUUCGGAUGGAUUUGAGUAUGAGCAUAGCUGUUGGGACCCGAA
rnacentral:rRNA from 1 species